GGACUGCAGGAUGUUAGCUUGCAGCUCACUUCGGAAGGAAAAACAAAACAAAAACACUUUUGUUAUGAAAAUAACAAACUGCAUUUCGACUGCUAUAUUGUCAAGGAUUAGGUAUUGUAUUUUCUUACCUUGAAAGCAUUAGGAAUUGUAGCCCAUAUCUUGUCGAGGAUGAUACCUCCUGAUAGAUUCCAAGGAUUCCACACACUAUAGUUAUUCCACCAAACAUAAGAUCUGCACUCGCUUGAUGAAAAAUUUCAAUGAGAAAGGUUACACAGUGAACAGAGAAUGUACUCAGUCGUGAUAUUGUGAAAUAGAGUAUUAAUCUAGAUCAGUGCUAAACUGGACUUAAAUUGUUGAUCUUACGAACUAUUUGAGAUGGUUAUAAAAGCCAAUCUAGUUCAAUUCAUCAUAAAAUUAGAUCUGCAGCUCAGAAUUGUUUGUUUUACAAAGAUGAACAGAAGCACAAGAAGAUCAGAAUCCAGAAGAAUUUCAGUACGUAAAGAACAACCGGCUCCAAUGGAGACUAUUCUUCUAUGUUGUACCAAAAAGCAAAAUUGCAAAAAAAAAAACUGUUAUUGUCCAAUGGGAGGAUAAAAAUUGACACAAGGCAUAUGCUUAUCUGAUCUUGAACCUCAGGAUUAAGCAUCUGGCCGUAUUCUUUUGUUCUGCUCUAAGCAAAUCCUGGUAAACAAAAUCCCCAGCCCCCAAAGAGACACAAAAAGCGAAAAACAUCAGGUACCACAGGAUGACAAUUACAAAAUGCUGUAUAAUGAAGCUGUUUGCUUAGUUAACAAUAACUGUAAGAAAAGAAAGGCAUACCUUUCAGCCAUUGCCUUGCCAUGUGAUCCUCCUCCUUCCCUUCACC
rnacentral:lncRNA from 1 species